UGGAAACCUUCCCUAUGGUUCGGAAUAGCUAAGGGAAACUUGAGGUAAUACCGGAUAAGCCCUUCGGGGGAAAGAUUUAUCGCCAUUGGAUGGGCCCGCGUCGGAUUAGCUAGUUGGUGGGGUAACGGCCUACCAAGGCGACGACGGGUAGCUGGUCUGAGAGGACGACCAGCCACACUGGAACUGAGAUACGGUCCAGACUCCUACGGGAGGCAG
rnacentral:rRNA from 1 species